rnacentral:rRNA from 1 species
GACGGAGGGUGCAAGCGUUGUUCGGAAUCACUGGGCGUAAAGCGCGUGUAGGCGGUUCGAUAAGUCGGACGUGAAAGCCCGGGGCUUAACCCCGGAAGGGCAUCCGAAACUGUCGAGCGUGAGUACGGGAGAGGGAAGCGGAAGUCCUGGUGGAGAGGUGACCUUCGUAGCUCUCAGGAGGAACACCGGGGGCGAAGGCGGCGUCCUGUACCGAUACUGACUCUGAGACGCGAAAUCUUGGGGAGCCAACAGGAUUAGAUACCCGCGUAGUCC